rnacentral:lncRNA from 1 species
GGUCAUCAUUGCUAGAUAGUUACAUCGAUUGGUAUAAAAAGUUAUUCCUAUACUACCGACUUAAGUUCGAACCUAUGGGGUCACAUGCAUUAGAAGAUUUGAUCAGAUCAGAUGGCUGAAGAGUCCAAUUAGAUUGUGACUCUAGUGGAGUCCUACUCCGACUAGCACUCUGGGGGAGAGUCCCAUUGAGACUGAAACUUUAUUUUUUUAGAAAAUUAAUUAAUAAUUAGAUUAUAAAUUGACUCAAUUUGAUUGAUUAAGGAGUUUUGGAUCAAGUCU